rnacentral:tRNA from 1 species
GCCACUGUUGCUCAGUGGUUAGAGCAUUGGCCAACUCACCAAAGAGUCACAGGUUCGAUUCCCAGUCAAGGGCA